rnacentral:tRNA from 1 species
GCGGACGUGGCGGAAUUGGUAUACGCAGCAGACUUAAAAUCUGUCGCCCUCGGGAUUACGGGUUCAAGUCCCGUCGUCCGCACCA